GCUCGUGGAUCGAUGAAGACCGCAGCUAAAUGCGCGUCAGAAUGUGAACUGCAGGACACGUGAACACCGACAAGUUGAACGCAUAUUGCACACCGUACAACAGUACGAUGUACACAUUUUUGAGUGCCUAUAUUUAUCCAUUCAACUGUGCCUAUAUUUAUCCAGUCGCACCACGUACGCGCAGUGACGUUUUUCUGGCCCUCAGUAAAACGUUAAAGAUAAUCAGGUGCGCCCCACCCAGGUGCGGUUGAUGAAUACAUCCCUUAGACCAACGCGCUUGGUUAUGUUGUAUUUCAUCGGCAGGCCAGCCGGCCACCGCCACCCAGUAAGCCUCAAAUAAUGUGUGACUACCCCCUAAAUUUAAGC
rnacentral:rRNA from 1 species